UAGAUGGCGAGUUGUGUAUGGAUGUAUGUGUGUGGGCAUGGAGCGUCGGUUGGGUACUGUGAAUGGGCGUCUUUACCAUCGUUCCACAUGCAAUACCCUGUCCUUACACAUGCAGAUAUGAGGGGGACAGUUCCUGUGUGGCAGCGGACACACAGCAUGGAUUAUGCUAUCCAAUUAGGACCAUCGAGGCUGGUGCUGUCACGAGCCUGUAUCUGCUUUGAAAUGCGUUUGAUUGUUUUACAAAGAAAACAUGACAUUUUCUAACUAAAAAAAUAAACGUAAGUAGAACAAUUUCAACUUCAAGUUGUCUUUCAACAAGAACAGCAGCCUUGUUAAAUCUAAAGAUAAAAAGGAAAAUACAAUCGGAGAUGUAGUGUCAGAAAUAUUUGUCAACGAGGACCAGAAUAUACUUCUACCUGGAUGCGUGGACCCUAUCAGCGGCACGGCCCCUUUCUAAUGUAGGCUAAUAUAUCCAUGAAGAAGACAGAUUUUUCAAGGCAACAUUUACAUCGACCUACGCCAUGAGGACCAGAAGAUACUUCUACCUGGAUGCGUGGACCCUCUGCCAGGGGCUUCAGCGGGGACGGCCCCUUUCUUAUGUAGGCUAAUUUAAAUGUAUCCAUGAAGAAGACGGAGCUUUCAAAGCAACAUUUAAAUCGGAAAACCUCUGCGACUCGACCGGGGCUGCACGGACAAUGUGCAGCGGAUGUUUUAUCAUAAACAAGACGUGUGUUUACGAUGAUGGGACCACGGACACCGACAGAUCAAGAGGUGACUAUGAGCCCGCAACGUCGAUCCUCGAGUUCCAAUGGACACAGGUCAUCGUCCACUGAGACCCUGCAGAAGAACAACAGCAGCAACACUGGAGUUAUUCUGGACAUCUCAGCCCUGAAGAUGGCGGAAAUGGACUCUGAGGUCCCCCCUCUACCGCCCCGCUACCGCUUCAGGGACCUGCUGCUGGGGGACCAGUCUUUUCAGAAUGACGACAGGGUGCAGGUGGAGUUCUAUGUGAAUGAAAACACCUUCAAGGAGAGGCUCAAGCUGUUCUUCAUCAAAAACCAAAGGUCAAGCCUGAGGAUCCGUCUGUUUAACUUCUCCUUGAAGCUGUUGACGUGUGCCCUUUACGUCAUCAGAGUGGCUCUGGACGACCCUGAACAGGUCACUGGAGUAUGUGUCAACUGUCAGAAUAGAACAAGCACAGCCACAGCAGAAUCCACAGAAAUCACAGAAAUCAACUGGGAGUUGAUUUUCUGGGUGAACAGAAGGGUUCCUGUCUGGGCAAUACAGGUGACCGUGGCCUUAAUCAGUUUCCUGGAGGCGAUGCUCCUCACGUAUCUCAGCUACAAGGGGAACAUCUGGGAGCAGAUGUUCCAGAUCUCCUUCAUCCUGGAGAUGAUUAAUACCGUGCCAUUUAUAAUUACUAUCUUCUGGCCUCCGUUGAGAAACAUCUUCAUCCCAGUGUUUCUCAACUGCUGGUUAGCUAAGUGUGCCCUGGAGAAUAUGAUUAAUGAUCUUCAUCGUGCCAUCCAGAGGACCCACUCUGCCAUGUUCAACCAGGUCCUCAUACUUAUCUGCACCCUUCUCUGUCUGGUCUUCACUGGGGCAUGUGGUAUCCAGCAUCUAGAGAGAGCCGGAAAGAACCUGACUCUGUUCAACUCUCUGUAUUUCUGCAUCGUCACCUUCUCUACGGUGGGCUAUGGUGACGUCACACCUCAUAUCUGGCCUUCUCAGCUGCUGGUGGUCAUCCUCAUUUGUGUGGCCCUUGUGGUGCUCCCGCUACAGUUUGAGGAGUUGGCCUAUCUGUGGAUGGAGCGUCAGAAGUCAGGAGGGAACUACAGCAGACACCGGGCCCAGACAGAGAAACAUGCGGUCCUGUGCGUCAGCUCCCUGAAGAUAGACUUGCUCAUGGACUUCCUCAACGAGUUCUACGCUCAUCCGAGAUUACAGGACUACUAUGUGGUGAUCCUGUGUCCUACAGAGAUGGACAUCCAGGUGCGUCGUAUCCUCCAGAUCCCUCUGUGGUCCCAGAGGGUCAUCUAUCUCCAGGGCUCAGCACUCAAAGACACAGACCUCAUGAGGGCCAAGAUGGAUGAUGCAGAAGCCUGUUUUAUCCUAAGCAGUAGGAACGAGGUGGACCGCACUGCUGCUGAUCACCAGACCAUACUGAGAGCCUGGGCUGUGAAGGACUUUGCCCCAAACUGCCCCCUGUACGUCCAGAUCCUCAAACCAGAGAACAAAUUCCAUGUAAAGUUUGCUGAUCAUGUGGUCUGUGAGGAGGAAUUCAAGUAUGCCAUGCUGGCUCUGAACUGUGUAUGUCCAGCCACAUCCACACUGGUCACACUCCUGGUGCACACCUCCAGAGGACAGGAGGGCCAGCUGUCGCCAGAGCAGUGGCAGAGGACGUAUGGACGUUGCUCUGGGAACGAGGUCUACCACAUCCGCCUGUGCGACAGCAAGUUCUUCGGGGAGUACGACGGGAAGAGUUUCACCUACGCCUCCUUCCACGCACACAAAAAGUAUGGUGUGUGUCUGAUCGGGGUGAAGAGGGAAGACAACAAGAGCAUCCUGCUGAACCCAGGUCCUCGCCACAUCAUGUCCGCCCCAGACACCUGCUACUACAUCAACAUCACCAAGGAAGAGAACUCCUCGUUCAUCUUCAAACAGGAGGAGAAAGACAAGAAGGGCCUGCCGGUGACCGGGCUGUAUGACGCCCCCUCCAGGCUGCCUGUACACAGCAUCAUCGCCAGCAUGGUUGAUCAGGCCAAUUUUUAUGGGACGGUCGCCAUGGACCUCCAGAACCCGGCGGACCCCCCAGAGGACUGCAGCAAACUGACCCUGCCUACAGAGAACGGGGCUGGGAGCAGACGACCCAGCAUUGCCCCCGUCCUGGAGAUAGCUGACUCCUCCUCCAUUUUGCCCUGCGACCUGCUCAGCGACCAAUCAGAGGACGAGACCAACCACUCAGACGAGGAGGGCUCGUCGGUGUCAGACUUUGUGAAAGGAUACCCUCCCAACUCCCCAUACAUUGGCAGCUCUCCAACCCUGUGCCAUCUCCUACCUCAGAAAGCCUCAUUCUGCUGCCUUCGGCUGGACAAGGGUUGCAGACACAACAGUUUUGAGGAUGCCAAGGCCUAUGGUUUUAAGAACAAGCUGAUCAUAGUAUCCGCGGAGACGGCAGGGAACGGCCUUUAUAACUUCAUCGUCCCUCUACGUGCUUACUACCGCCCCAGAAAAGAGCUCAACCCUAUUGUACUGCUACUAGACUACCCGCCUGACAACCACUUCCUAGAAGCCAUCUGCUGUUUCCCAAUGGUCUACUUCAUGGGCGGAACCAUAGAUAACCUGGACAAUCUGCUACAGUGUGGCAUCAUCUAUGCUGAUAACCUGGUGGUGGUGGACAAGGAGAGCACCAUGAGUGCUGAGGAGGACUAUAUGGCAGAUGCCAAGACUAUCGUCAACGUACAGACCAUGUUCAGGCUGUUCCCCAGUCUCAGUAUCAUCACAGAGCUGACCCACCCCUCCAACAUGAGGUUUAUGCAGUUCAGGGCUAAGGAUUGCUACUCCCUGGCUCUCUCCAAGCUAGAGAAGAUAGAGCGCGAUAAGGGUUCCAACUUGGCCUUCAUGUUCCGCCUGCCGUUCGCUGCAGGCAGAGUGUUCAGUAUCAGUAUGCUGGAUACGCUGCUCUACCAGUCAUUUGUAAAGGACUAUAUGAUUCCCAUAGCAAGACUUUUACUAGGCCUGGAUACCACACCAGGAUCUGGUUACCUAUGUGCUAUGAAGGUGACAGAGGAGGACCUGUGGAUCAGGACGUAUGGCAGGUUAUUUCAAAAACUGUGUUCUUCCAGUGCAGAGAUUCCAAUAGGCAUCUACCGUACAGAGUCACACAUGUUUUCCUCCUCAGAGUCUCAAGUAUCCAUCAACGUAGAGAACACUGGUGGUGACGACCAGAGAAGCAAUCGUCGCGAGUCGUGGAAGGAGAAAACAGCUCAGCGGAACUCCACCACCAGCGACCAAUCAGAACAUCCGUUGCUGAGGAAGAAGAGCCUCCAGUGGGCGCGGCGUCUGAGCCGUAAGAACACCAAGCCGCCGAGUCGCACCGAGCGGAUCUCCCAGCAGCGCCUCAACCUGUACCGGCGCUCCGAGAGACAGGAGCUGUCUGAGCUGGUCAAGAACCGCAUGAAGCACCUAGGCUUGCCCACUGUCGGAUACGAGGAUGUUGCUAAUCUUACUGCGAGUGAUGUCAUGAACCGAGUAAAUCUAGGAUAUUUACAAGAGUUGCAGGGAAUUUCAGAGCCUCCGUUAAGAGAAGAGACCAGAACAGGUUAGAUGGAGAAUCAUAAUCAUACAGCACUACUGCAUGACUCUGUGUGAUAAUGAUGAUGGCUGUGGUGGUCGGCAGACGAGCAGCCUUUCUUUCUCUCUGUCCCCUGCGUUGUGUGGACUGAAGUGGGUGACUUAGGCCUAGUUCAAAUUGUACAACUGAUGUAACACAACCGUUGUUUCAAAUGCAUUGUGCAUCAGUUGUACAACCUGUGUGAACUAGGACUUAUUCGACUGGUGAUGGCAGGUGAGAGACGGCCAGACAGACUACCAAGUUACUGCAGGGCGUGGAGAGUGUUGAAUACACUACAGUGUGGCGGGAUGGGACAGAGUGGAGCAGAAAGCAUUGCGACUGUGUUGUUCGGGAAGGUCAACAGUACAUUGCUAUCGACAAACCAAAGCUACACUGAGAAUCUUGUAGAAUAUAACAAUGGUUGCUAACAGGAAAAACAUUUGAGCAUUUUAUUAGCCUAAAUACAAUAUGAUUUCAAAAUAUUCACCACAUUUUAGUCCCUCUGUAAGACUAUCCUAGAUUGACGCUAUGUUAUGACCCCCUUCUAAUCCCACACACCCAAUGUAUUUUGCUUUCACUCUUAGAUUGGUUGAGCCUCACUUUGUUUGGUUGAGUCUGCCCUGCCGGAUGCCAAGAGCAUGUUCUAGUUGUGUUUGUGGGUGUGUCAACAUUUUUAUAUGGGGGCUGAGUGUCGUUGGCAUGGCAACCAUGGUGACCUGUCGCCGUGAGUGACCAGGCCCGACGUGUGGAAUGCGCGGGAGGUGAAUCGAUGCGGACAGUGUCUGCAUGUCUUUCUUAAACUGCGCAUGGAGGGAUGCGCUUGCCUUGUGGCAGCAUGGGCCUACCCUGUACCAGCUAUGCCCUGUCAGUAACAGUUAGACCUUCUCUCUCUCCUACCCACCCCGCCUGGCAUUAUAAGGGGCAAACACAGGUGGGUUUGGAGAAGCAGAUGCACUUUACCCCCCCAACCCCCAAGCUUGAGCCUCAUUCUGUCCCAGGUACACAGUUUCUCACUCAUACACGCGAAACAGGUAAAACACAAUCACUUCUCACUCACAGACACUCACUCUGAAUAGAUGUUGCCCCCCCUAGGCAAAGGUCUAAGAUCAGAGGGAAACUGACCUUAGAUCAGUGUCCAGGGGCAACCCGAUCCUACUCCAAGACAAGAACAGGACAUCAAGGUAUCCCAUGUCAAGGGAUAUUCAGUUACACACCAUUGAUUAAACUGUAUUUGGAUAGACAUUAAGAAAAUGAACACAGGGCUUAUAUCAUACAGGACUUAUAGGCUAACUAUAUAUAAAUAAGCCUUGUCCAGCCAGAACGGCCCUUAAAAUGGCUCUUACUGGAAAUGCAUAUGAUUUAUUAUGUCAGUCAGCCGUUUACUGAAGAUCAGGGAAUCCUAUACUUCCAUUUCUAAAUGGACCAUUAGUUGUCUAAUGUUGUGUGUAAUUGGUGAAUGUGAGGGAACUGGUAUAGCCAGAGCAGCUGCUAAGAGCUGUCCCUGUAUCUGUUCUGUUCCAGAUGAGAUGAACGACCACCAGAACAGUCUGUCCUACGUUCUCAUCAACCCCCCUCCAGACACCAUGCUGGAGCUCAAUGACAUUGUCUACAUCAUCCGGUCCGACCCGCUGGCAGGGCCUGACGUGCCCGAGGAUGCGGCUCAGGGGCAG